UACGUAGGGGGCUAGCGUUGUCCGGAAUUAUUGGGCGUAAAGAGCUCGUAGGCGGUCUGUCGCGUCGAUCGUGAAAAACUUGGGGGCUUAACCCUGAGCUUGCGGUCGAUACGGGCAUGACUGGAGUUCGGCAGGGGAGACUGGAAUUCCUGGUGUAGCGGUGAAAUGCGCAGAUAUCAGGAGGAACACCGGUGGCGAAGGCGGGCUCUGGGCCAAACGCGCUGAGAGCGAAAAGC
rnacentral:rRNA from 1 species